rnacentral:rRNA from 1 species
AGAGUUUGAUCCUGGCUCAGGAUGAACGCUGGCGGCGUGCCUAAUACAUGCAAGUCGAGCGAGAAUCAGUGAAGCAGAGAUUCGUCAAAGCGGAUCUGAGGAAAGCGGCGGACGGGUGAGUAACGCGUAGGCAACCUGCCCUUAGCAGAGGGAUAGCCAUUGGAAACGAUGAUUAAAACCUCAUAAUGCAGUUUCAACACAUGUUGGGAUUGCCAAAGAUUUAUCGGCUAAGGAUGGGCCUGCGUCUGAUUAACUAGUUGGUGAGGUAACGGCUCACCAAGGUGACGAUCAGUAGCCGACCUGAGAGGGUGAUCGGCCACAUUGGAACUGAGACACGGUCCAAACUUCUACGGAAGGCAGCAGUAAGGAAUCUUGCACAAUGGGGGAAACCCUGAUGCAGCAACGCCGCGUGAACGAUGAAGGCCUUAGGGUUGUAAAGUUCUGAUCUGUGGGAAGAAGAAGUGACGGUACCACAGGAGAAAGCCCCGGCUAAAUACGUGCCAGCAGCCGCGGUAAUACGUAUGGGGCAAGCGUUAUCCGGAAUUAUUGGGCGUAAAGAGUGCGUAGGUGGUUACCUAAGCGCAAGGUUUAAUCUUGAGGCUCAACCUCAUUCUGCCUUGCGAACUGGGCUACUUGAGUGCAGGAGGGGAAAGCGGAAUUCCCAGUGUAGCGGUGAAAUGCGUAGAUAUUGGGAAGAACACCGGUGGCGAAGCGGCUUUCUGGACUGUAACUGACACUGAGGCACGAAAGCGUGGGGAGCAAACAGGAUUAGAUACCCUGGUAGUCCACGCCGUAAACGAUGAGCACUAGUUGUUGGGUACGAAUGUAUUCAGUGACGCAGUUAACGCAAUAAGUGCUCCGCCUGGGGAGUACGGUGGCAACACUAAAACUCAAAGGAAUUGACGGGGACCCGCACAAGCAGCGGAGCAUGUGGUUUAAUUCGAAGCAACGCGAAAAACCUUACCAGGGCUUGACAUCCCUCUGACCGGCUCUUAACCGAGCCUUUCUUCGGACAGAGGUGACAGGUGGUGCAUGGUUGUCGUCAGCUCGUGUCGUGAGAUGUUGGGUUAAGUCCCGCAACGAGCGCAACCCUUGUCGUCAGUUACUAACAUUAAGUUGAGGACUCUGACGAGACUGCCGAGGUCAACUCGGAGGAAGGUGGGGAUGACGUCAAAUCAUCAUGCCCCUUAUGUUCUGGGCUACACACGUGCUACAAUGGUCGGUACAAUGAGAGGCAAUACAGUGAUGUGGAGCAAAUCACCAAAACCGAUCCCAGUUCGGAUUGCAGGCUGCAACUCGCCUGCAUGAAGUCGGAGUUGCUAGUAAUCGCGAAUCAGCAUGUCGCGGUGAAUGCGUUCCCGGGUCUUGUACACACCGCCCGUCACACCAUGGAAGUUGGGGGCGCCCAAAGUUGGCUAAUAAAUCUGCUACCUAAGGCGAAACCAAUGACUGGGGUGAAGUCGUAACAAGGUA